rnacentral:rRNA from 1 species
GAUGAACGCUGGCGGCGUGCCUAAUACAUGCAAGUCGAGCGAACGGACGAGAAGCUUGCUUCUCUGAUGUUAGCGGCGGACGGGUGAGUAACACGUGGAUAACCUACCUAUAAGACUGGGAUAACUUCGGGAAACCGGAGCUAAUACCGGAUAAUAUUUUGAACCGCAUGGUUCAAAAGUGAAAGACGGUCUUGCUGUAACUUAUAGAUGGAUCCGCGCUGCAUUAGCUAGUUGGUAAGGUAACGGCUUACCAAGGCAACGAUGCAUAGCCGACCGGAGGGGGUGAUCGGCCACACUGGAACUGAGACACGGUCCAGACUCCUACGGGAGGCAGCAGUAGGGAAUCUUCCGCAAUGGGCGAAAGCCUGGCGGAGCGACGCCGCGUGAGUGAUGAAGGUCUUCGGAUCGUAAUACUCUGUUAUUAGGGAAGAACAUAUGUGUAAGUAACUGUGCACAUCUUGACGGUACCUAAUCAGAAAGCCACGGCUAACUACGUG